rfam:Pseudozyma antarctica DNA, scaffold: scaffold_v10046, strain JCM 10317, whole genome shotgun sequence.
AGCUUCUUAGCGCAGUAGGUAGCGCGUUGGGCUCAUAUCUCGUAUGAAUUCCUGCCUUUCCACUCUUGAGUGGAGCAACCCAAAGGUCGUCGGAUCGAAACCGACAGAAGCUA